rnacentral:misc_RNA from 1 species
AAGUCUCAACCUUACUGGCUAUUGUUUAUGGGCUAGUUUGGCUUGGAUUUGUGGAAGUUGCUAGUCAUUCUGUGAUUUAAGCUCUUCUUAAAAGCAUUAGCGAAUUCACUGCUAAAUCUCCUUGAUAUGAUAACUAUCAAUAUCCUUGGGAUUAUGUAUAUAAAUUUGCUUCUAAAUUGUCUCCAUGAGACCUAGUGUUUGACAA